rnacentral:rRNA from 1 species
AACGAACGCUGGCGGCAUGCCUAACACAUGCAAGUCGAACGAGACCUUCGGGUCUAGUGGCGCACGGGUGAGUAACGCGUGGGAACCUGCCCUUAGGUUCGGAAUAACUCCCCGAAAGGGGUGCUAAUACCAGAUAAUGUCUUCGGACCAAAGCUUUAUCGCCUUUGGAUGGGCCCGCGUUGGAUUAGCUAGUUGGUAGGGUAAAAGCCUACCAAGGCGACGAUCCAUAGCUGGUCUGAGAGGAUGAUCAGCCACACUGGGACUGAGACACGGCCCAGACUCCUACGGGAGGCAGCAGUGGGGAAUAUUGGACAAUGGGCGAAAGCCUGAUCCAGCAAUGCCGCGUGAGUGAUGAAGGCCUUAGGGUUGUAAAGCUCUUUUACCCGGGAUGAUAAUGACAGUACCGGGAGAAUAAGCUCCGGCUAACUCCGUG